rnacentral:rRNA from 1 species
AUACAGAGGGUGCGAGCGUUAAUCGGAAUUACUGGGCGUAAAGCGCGCGUAGGCGGCUUGGUCAGUCGGAUGUGAAAGCCCCGGGCUCAACCUGGGAAUGGCAUUCGAUACUGCCAGGCUAGAGUAUGAGAGAGGGAAGUGGAAUUUCCGGUGUAGCGGUGAAAUGCGUAGAUAUCGGAAAGAACACCAGUGGCGAAGGCGACUUCCUGGCCCAAUACUGACGCUGAGGUGCGAAAGCGUGGGGAGCGAACAGAAUUAGAAACCCCAGUAGUCC